AUUGAACGCUGGCGGCAGGCCUAACACAUGCAAGUCGAGCGGAUGAAGGGAGCUUGCUCCUGGAUUCAGCGGCGGACGGGUGAGUAAUGCCUAGGAAUCUGCCUGGUAGUGGGGGAUAACGUCCGGAAACGGGCGCUAAUACCGCAUACGUCCUGAGGGAGAAAGUGGGGGAUCUUCGGACCUCACGCUAUCAGAUGAGCCUAGGUCGGAUUAGCUAGUUGGUGGGGUAAAGGCCUACCAAGGCGACGAUCCGUAACUGGUCUGAGAGGAUGAUCAGUCACCCUGGAACUGAGACACGCUCCAGCCCCCUACUGUAGGCACCCAUGGCGAAUGUUGGCCACUGGGCCAAAGCCUGGUCCAUCCUUGCCGCGUGUGUGAAGAAGGUCUUCUGAUUGUAAAGCACUUUAAGGUGCGAGGAAGGGCAGUAAGUUAAUACCUUGCUGUUUUGACGUUACCAACAGAAUAAGCACCGGCUAACUUCGUG
rnacentral:rRNA from 1 species